UACGUAGGGUGCGAGCGUUGUCCGGAAUUACUGGGCGUAAAGAGCUCGUAGGCGGUUUGUCGCGUUGUUCGUGAAAACUCACAGCUCAACUGUGGGCGUGCGGGCGAUACGGGCAGACUGGAGUACUGCAGGGGAGACUGGAAUUCCUGGUGUAGCGGUGAAAUGCGCAGAUAUCAGGAGGAACACCGAUGGCGAAGGCAGGUCUCUGGGCAUUAACUGACGCUGAGGAGCGAAAGCAUGGGGAGCGAACAGG
rnacentral:rRNA from 1 species